rnacentral:rRNA from 1 species
AGCCACAUCACAUUAAAACACUGGUUCUUGUAUGAUCACUGAAGUUAAGCAACAUCAAUCCUGGUCAGUACCUUGAUGGGUGACUGCUUGGGAAUACCACGUGGUGUA